GCUCAUGUAAUUUAGAUAUUAAAAUGUCGAUACAUACCAUCGGUGACCACUAGGUGUCACUGUAUGACGACAGAAAGGUGCUACAGUACCACAGAAAAACCUUCGUUACUAAUGCGUUUGACUGACGGAGCAA